rnacentral:rRNA from 1 species
GCCCCCNNUCAGCUUGUUGNUGGGGGUAUGGCCCNCCAAGGCGACGACGGNUAGCCGGCCUGNNAGGNUGACCGGCCNCNCUGGGACUGAGAUANNNCCAGANUCCUACNGGAGGCAGCAGUGGGGAAUAUGCACAAUUGGGCGCAAGCCUGAUGCAGCGACGCCGCNNGAGGGAUGACGGCCUUCGGGUUGUAAACNUCUUUCAAUAGGGACGAAGCGCAAGUGACGGUACCUAUAGAAGAAGCACCGGCCAACUACGUGCCAGCAGCCGCGGUAAUACGUAGGGUGCGAGCGUUGUCNGGAAUUACUGGGCGUAAAGAGCUCGUAGGUGGUUUGUCGCGUUGUUCGUGAAAACUCACAGCUUAACUGUGGGCGUGCGGGCGAUACGGGCAGACUAGAGUACUGCAGGGGAGACUGGAAUUCCUGGUGUAGCGGUGGAAUGCGCAGAUAUCAGGAGGAACACCGGUGGCGAAGGCGGGUCUCUGGGCAGUAACUGACGCUGAGGAGCGAAAGCCUGGGGAGCGAACAGGAUUAGAUACCCUGGUAGUCCACGCCGUAAACGGUGGGUACUAGGUGUGGGUUUCCUUCCUUGGGAUCCGUGCCGUAGCUAACGCAUUAAGUACCCCGCCUGGGGAGUACGGCCGCAAGGCUAAAACUCAAAGGAAUUGACGGGGGCCCGCACAAGCGGCGGAGCAUGUGGAUUAAUUCGAUGCAACGCGAAGAACCUUACCUGGGUUUGACAUGCACAGGACGCCGGCAGAGAUGUCGGUUCCCUUGUGGCCUGUGUGCAGGUGGUGCAUGGCUGUCGUCAGUCCGUGUCGUGAGAUGUUGGGUUAAGUCCCGCAACGAAGCGCAACCCUUGUCCUAUGUUGCCAUGCGGGUUAUGCCGGGGACUCGUAGGAGACUGCCGGGGUCUGNUGACCUCGGAGGAAGGUGGGGAUGAAGUCAAGUCAUCAUGCCCCUUAUGUCCAGGGCUUCACACAUGCUACAAUGGCCGGUACAAAGGGCUGCGAUGCCGUGAGGUGGAGCGAAUCCAUUUCAAAGCCGGUCUCAGUUCGGAUCGGGGUCUGCAACUCGACCCCGUGAAGUCGGAGUCGCUAGUAAUCGCAGAUCAGCAACGCUGCGGUGAAUACGUUCCCGGGCCUUGUACACACCGCCCGUCACGUCAUGAAAGUCGGUAACACCCGAAGCCG